ensembl:lncRNA
CCGGAGCCGCCCGGAGCCGCCGGGAGCAGGCUCGGGCCGCGGCAGCCCCGCGGGGAGGCAGCGAGGGGCCCCUCGCCGAAAGCGCGAACACCCCCCACACCCCCGCCCCGCCGCCUCCGCCCGCCCCCAGCGAAGAGAAACAAAACACAACCCCGGCACCGCCACGCUCUCCCUCCUUCUCCUCUCGGCAUUUGGUGGUUGUUUUUUGGGGUUUUUUAAAAUUUAUUUUUUCUUUUCUUUUUUUUUUUUUUUUUUUUUUUUUUUUUUUUUUUCUUUUUUUUUUUUUUUUUUUUUUUUUUUUUUUAUUUUUUUUACUGGGGAUUCUCCUCUCUCCUGCCAGACUGACUUAUACGUUCUUGAUAAUUUCUCUUCCCCUCAUUUUUUAUACUCUUCUCCCUGCUUCCAAACCCUGUGUCUGUGUGUUUCAAUACUAUCACAACCUCUGCUAAAUAUAGAUCUUUUUAUACCCUUCCUCCUCUCUGACCCCAUCCAACACCCCUUGUUAAGGGUGCACCAAGUGUCCUGCUGUCUAUCAUUUCAUGUGCCAGAGUUUUCAACAUGCCAUUAAAGGUAGUGCCAGUAACAAUGGGAACAAAAAGAAAAACAGGGAUGAGUACAAAAGAACCCCAUUGAUAAAAAAAGCAAGAGGAAGUAAAUCUUUAUUCUCACUGUGUUGAGUGAGUCACUGAGUCACUGGGCUUGAAAUGAGAUCUCUGGAUUUGCACUUCACUCUUGUGUCUUGUUCAGUUGAGAUGUAAAAGCUUCUCCAUACUGAGUUAAUUAAAGAACUGCCAUUAAUGCAAAUUUGUUUGAAAUUAGCUUUCAUGCUGCAUGCACAGGAAAGAAAAAGUUGGCAGAUUUGAGUGGCAGAAAUCUGUGCAUGCAUCUGUGUACCUCUUCAGGGUCUGAAGUCAUCUUUAGAAUCUAUUUUGUUGGAUUGUAGAACUCAACAUCAUUGCUGAUAUAUAGGUCUCCCAUGGAGUACUCAUUUCAGUGAGGUCCUGGACUGCAAAUCCAUAAAAGCUGUUUCUUUUCAGACAGAACAUCUAAUGCCAACUGGAGAAGAUGUAACAGUUUGCAUUAAUUUGCUACUAGUUUAAUUUGUCCCCUGUGCAAGGACUUUCCAAAACUACCUUGGUGUGUUCCUAGACUGUAUAGGUGAUUUUCCUGCCAGCAAUUUCUCAUUCCUGAUUUAAUUCUUUUAUGCUCUGUAUAAGACCACCAAGACAGGAUUUUCCUGCUUCCCCACAAUGUGUAUUCCUGAGUGGAUAUUUAUUGAUUCCAGCGCCGUGAGAAAGUGUGGUGACCUUUCCAGCUCCAGUGUCUUUGGUCAGUUAGGGCUUCAUUUUACAAGAUAUGUCCAGCCAUUUACCAAGAUGAAUUUGCCUUACAUUAUUAGAAAAUAAUGUGAGAUGCAAAUUAUGGGCAAAAAUACUGUCUGAAGACCAGAUCCUUUUUCAUUCUCAGGCUUAAAUGGAGGGAAAGAGAUUGACUGUUGCCACCCAGAUGAGGAUACAACUGCUACACAUCUUUAACAACCAGACUGCUUUUUUUUCCAUCCUCCAUUGUGUUGCUAGGGUUCCUCUCCUGGAAUAUAUUGUGGGUAUUAUUUAUGUUCACUGUGGGAUAUAAAUUGCAAGCAUACAGCAAACGGUGAUGACCCAGAUUGUUUUUCUAUGCAAGAAAGCUUCCCAUUCAGGAUUAUCUGAAUGUAAAUAUGAUGUGUCUUCUGAUCAGAAUAAUGAAGACUUUGAAAAUUCAUUUAUCUAUUAAGUGUUGUUAGAAAACCUACACCAGAUAGAGACUUUUUCAUCAUUUACAUUUUAAAGUACUCUCUCUCUGAAAGAUUAUACUGCAUUAGAAGAUUUGCACUUAAGACAUCGUUUGAGUAAAGUGAUGCUGCACAAAAUCUUUGAUUUAAAAUCAAAUUAGAAGAGGAAGCAAUAUUUUUUUUCUAAAAUAAUGUGAAAGUUAACCAUUUGUAGAUAAACUUCUAGAUAUCAAACUUUUGGUUGUGUUGACAAAAUGCUGGGGACAGCAUGCUUGUCUUAUUGAACCUCGAUUACAGGCUUGCAAAAAUGUUGUAGUGAAGGUUAAUGGUUUGAUAACUGAAAAUGUUAACCUUUGCACUGCUGUUUCUGGGCUGAAUGUGCACCAUCCAUGCUUUCUGUUAGCACUGACAGCUCUGGUACACACCUCCUAAUCACUAGAAGAGCAUUACAUUUUCAUUUCUUCAGUAUAGGCUCUGAUCAAUGUCAUAGCUGCCUCUAAGCCUUUGAAAAUGCGUUCUAUAACUAGGAAAAAUAAUUCUGUGAUUAUAUAUGAACAAGGAAGUACUUCUCUCAGAAUAGGGAAGUAGGUUUCAGUGGAUGUACAGUGGCUGUAAUGAAAGCAAAGUGAAGCCCAUUGUCUGACCACUUGAAUGACAGUGUCCUUCACACAGUCACACCCUCAGAAGAAUGAACUUGCUUUGGACACCAGGAGCAUGAAAUGCAAGGAGCUGAAUGAACUCUACUGUAAAGUGAACCUGUAAGAUCUGACACAAUUCUGUCUCUAGCAUAGAGAUAUCCAGACUAUGGAAAGGGGAUUGUGACUAACUCUAACUAGUUCCCUUGUUAGCCUUCUUGCUAGGACCUGUGAGCAUCCAGCGUUCUACAGGGUCUGAAUUCUCCAUUGUGCUGGGAGAUAGGAGCUGGAUUCCCCUUGCUUUGGUGUUAUGGUAUGGUGUUUGGUAUGAUUCUCUGGUAUCUGGCCCAAACAUCUGUGCUAGCAAAAGGUAAAGUUAGAAAGAAUUUACCAUUAUUUUGCAUAGAUAAAAAGUGCAUUGUUUACUAACUGACAAUGAAAGGCAUAAAUGAAACAGAACCAGUUCUUGCUGGACUUGUACUGGUCAUAGAGAUGGAGCAAUCUGUUGCUGUCAUUACUCUUGUAUGGGUAAAGAGGGGACAUUGCAUCAAACACUCAUACAAAAUGAAAGUCAAGUUUUCUUCACUGGGACUUUCAUACUGACUUAGUUCUUGAUCAUCACACUGACAAGCAAUAAAAAUAAAUAAAUUAACA